CCUACGGGUGGCAGCAGUGAGGAAUAUUGGUCAAUGGGCGGGAGACUGAACCAGCCAAGUAGCGUGAAGGAGGACUGUCCUACGGGUUGUAAACUUCUUUUAUAAAGGAAUAAAGUGAGGCACGUGUGCCUGUUUGUAUGUACUUGAUGAAUAAGGAUCGGCUAACUCCGUGCCAGCAGCCGCGGUAAUACGGAGGAUGCGAGCGUUAUCCGGAUUUAUUGGGUUUAAAGGGAGCGUAGAUGGGUUGUUAAGUCAGUUGUGAAAGGUUGCGGCGCAACCGUAAAAUUGCCAUUGAUACUGGCAGUCUUGAGUACAGUUGAGGUAGGCGGAAUUCGUGGUGUAGCGGUGAAAUGCUUAGAUAUCACGAAGAACUCCGAUUGCGAAGGCAGCUUACUAAACUGCCACUGACAUUGAUGCUCGAAAGUGUGGGUAUCAAACAGGAUUAGAUACCCCUGUAGUC
rnacentral:rRNA from 1 species